UACGGGGGGGGCAAGCGUUGUUCGGAAUUACUGGGCGUAAAGGGCUCGUAGGUGGCCAACUAAGUCGGACGUGAAAUCCCUCAGCUUAACUGGGGAACUGCGUCCGAUACUGGAUGGCUUGAGUUUGGGAGAGGGAUGCGGAAUUCCAGGUGUAGCGGUGAAAUGCGUAGAUAUUCGGAAGAACACCAGUGGCGAAGGCGACUUACUGGACACAUAUUGACGCUGAGGUGCGAAAGCGGGGGGAGCAAACAGG
rnacentral:rRNA from 1 species